rnacentral:rRNA from 1 species
GUGAGUAACACGUAGGUAAUCUGCCGUAGAGUGGGGGAUAACCCAUGGAAACAUGGACUAAUACCGCAUAUACUCUUGACGCUAAAGCGUAGUAGWGGAAAGGAGCAAUCCGSUUUACKAUGAGCCUGCGGCCUAUUAGCCUGUUGGUGAGAUAAAAGCCCACCAAAGCUACGAUAGGUAGCCGACCUGAGAGGGUGACCGGCCACAUUGGGACUGAGAUACGGCCCAGACUCCUACGGGAGGCAGCAGCUGAGAAUCUUCCACAAUGGACGAAAGUCUGAUGGAGCGACAUCGCGUGAGGGAUGAAGGCCUUCGGGUUGUAAACCUUGGAAAUUAUCGAAGAAUGAGUGACAGUAGAUAAUGUAAGCCUCGGCUAACUACGUGCCAGCAGCCGCGGUAAUACGUAGGAGGCAAACGUUGCUCGGAUUUACUGGGCGUAAAGGGUGAGUAGGCGGAACUAUAAGUCUAAGGUGAAAUAUCGAAGCUCAACUUCGGAAACGCCUCGGAUACUGUGGUU